AAAUUUAGGUUAUACCACUAAACCAAGGGCCUUCAAAGCCCUAAAAGGACGAUACUCCAACUUCUG
rnacentral:tRNA from 1 species